AUGCGGUAAAGGCUCUGGCCACUGACCAGGGCUUCGGAAUUCUGCUAAGACUACAACAGCCUACUAUGAAGAAUGGCAGCCCCAGAUUCCCCCCAGAAAGGAAUGGAGUUGAAUUUAUUUUGGUGCCAUCUGAAUGGACUCUUUUAUAUGUACAUUCUAAAGAAUCUUUCCGCAGAGGGGAGACAGUAAUAUAUCCCCAUUGCCAGUCAUCUGCUAGCCACUGAAACAGAAAACCGAGAAAAAGAAGAGGAAAGCAAUCUUCCUAUCAACUACAUGACUAGAUUCAGCAGAUUUUAUGGGCAAUUAAGUCUUUAAAUGAAGAUUAAAGAGAACGCA
rnacentral:sRNA from 1 species